UACGAAGGGGGCUAGCGUUGCUCGGAAUCACUGGGCGUAAAGGGCGCGUAGGCGGCCCGCUAAGUCGAACGUGAAAUCCCUGGGCUCAACCCAGGAACUGCGUCCGAUACUGGCAGGCUUGAAUCCGGGAGAGGGAUGCGGAAUUCCAGGUGUAGCGGUGAAAUGCGUAGAUAUCUGGAGGAACACCGGUGGCGAAGGCGGCAUCCUGGACCGGCAUUGACGCUGAGGCGCGAAAGCCAGGGGAGCAAACGGGG
rnacentral:rRNA from 1 species